UGUUCUUCGCAGAACUUCGUGUUUGGUACACCCUCAUGGAACUUUACCUUUUAAUUAUGUUUUUAAGUAGAAGUCUGUCUUGUAUUGAUGUCAGGUGGCAGAGACGGAGCCAGAGAGUUUAACAAAUAGUGAAGAAAGGAAAAUAUAUAUUUGGUUGUCAAUGGGCAACCUGUGGCCUGACGAGGACUCCCAAACGAAAAGUUACGAGAAAGAAUUACAAGCCCUCCCACUGCG